ensembl:lncRNA
UGUGCACCUCCACGACAUUUCCACCGCUGCACAUCUGCCGCGGAACCACAACUGAAAGUCGCUGAAAUGAGCUCUUGUGGUGACUUGUUGGGAUCAAACCUGAUUAUCGGAUGACAUCGCGUGACUUCCCCUAUUCUGCAAGAAAUGAGCACCCGGAAAACCUGGAGUGGAGUCAGCAUUUUUGGCAAUCCCGCACCUCUUUUCGACUUUUUAAAAAAAUACCGUUUUGCUUCGAUGUCUGGAAUAAAAAU